UCCACCUCUAUAAAAUGAGAAGGUUGGAUUUAAAGCCACCAGAUCUCGCCCAGAAGCCUGCCACAGAAACACUGUGGUGCAUGGGCCCUGAUCCCCUCUGCUGGGCCUCAGGGAUAAGUUUGGCUACAGACAUAA
ensembl:snoRNA small nucleolar RNA SNORA5